AGGAAUAUUGCGCAAUGGGGGCAACCCUGANGCAGCAACGCCGCNNNGACGAUGAAGGCCUUCGGGUNGUAAAAUCCUUUUGUGAGGGAAGAUAAUGACGGUACCUCACGAAUAAGUCCNGGCUAANUACGUGCCAGCAGCCGCGGUAAAACNUAGGGGGCGAGCGUUNUCNNNAUUUACUGGGCGUAAAGCGCANGNGGCGGUACUGUAAGUUGGGCGUGAAAGCUUCCGGCUCAACUGGGAGAGGUCCGUCAAUAAUGCAGUGCUUGAGGUUGGAAGAGGAGAGUGGAAUUCCCGGUGUAGUGGUGGAAAGCGUAGAAAUUGGGAGGAAACCCAGUGGGGAAGGGGGCUCUCUGGUCCACACCUGACGACGAGGUGGGAAAACGGGGGGAGGNNACCGGAUUAGAUACCCCCGUUGUUCCCCCCGUAAACGAUGGAUACUAGGUGUAGGNNNUAUUUACCCUU
rnacentral:rRNA from 1 species